UGAAUACUGAUAAUAUGAUUAAAAGAGCAAAGUCAUUAUCCAUUACAUCCUAAUCACACUAUCGAGUCAUAAACAACAUAAUUGAAAUAACAACAUCAGUACAUUAAUAGCUAUACAACUCAAUCAUUUCCCUUUCCUUUCUUAUCCCUUUUCGUACUUGCUCUUCCUUUACGUAUUGUCACGUUCACAUAAAUCUUCAUGUCCUGCUUAUUAGUUAAUCGACAUAGAGUUUCAAACAUGCUUGAAAGAUCUUUAGCUGAACUAGAUUCACUACUCAUUUCAGUAGCUUAACCCACUCCCAAUAUCCACAUUUCACACUACAAGAAUUAAACGGUCUGCCUUUGUUGUCAUUCUCCUUCUCCACUUUAAAACACUUCGUCAUUCUCCACUUUAAAACACUUUAUGAAGGCAUGCUUACACCAUGGGCAAGGACAUUUCCUUGGACAUUACGCAAAAGAAUGACCCUCCUUUCUACAAUUAUGACAAACUCCUUGAUUGUUUUCCUACCAUUGUCAAUUAGGACUCAACCACAAAAGAUCGAAUGUCAAUAAUCCAAGCAGUUUGUUAAUGUAAAAAAUACAUACAACACUAUAACAUGUGCAUAAGCUGAAAAAUACCACAAACAUAAUCAUAUUUUGAUUUCAUGACCUUUAUAAAAUGGGAAGCAUAUGUAGUAUCGAGCCAAAAAAAACAAGCAAAUGAUAACGAGAUACAAUUC
rnacentral:lncRNA from 1 species